rnacentral:rRNA from 1 species
AUUGAACGCUGGCGGCAGGCCUAACACAUGCAAGUCGAGCGGACGAAGGGAGCUCGCUCCUGGAUUCAGCGGCGGACGGGUGAGUAAUGCCUAGGAAUCUGACUGGCAGAGGGGGAUAACGUCCGGAAACGGGCGCUAAUACCGCAUCCGUCCUGAGGGAGAAAGUGGGGGAUCUUCGGUCCUCACGCUAUCAGCUGAGCCUAGGUCGGAUUAGCUAGUUGGUGGGGUAAAGGCCUACCAAGGCGACGAUCCGUAACUGGUCUGAGAGGAUGAUCAGUCACACUGGAACUGAGACACGGUCCAGACUCCUACGGGAGGCAGCAGUGGGGAAUAUUGGGCAAUGGGCGAAAGCCUGAUCCAGCCAUGCCGCGUGUGUGAAGAAGGUCUUCGGAUUGUAAAGCACUUUAAGUUGGGAGGAAGGGCAGUAAGUUAAUACCUGGCUGUUUUGACGUUACCAACAGAGUAAGCACCGGCUAACUUCGUG